rnacentral:sRNA from 1 species
AAGGGCGCAUGGUGGAUGCCUUGGCAGACAGUACCGACGAAGGACGUUUGAGGAUGCGAUAAGCCUCGGGGAGCCUCCAGCAUGGCUUCGAUCCGAGGAUUUCCGAAUGGGGCAACCCGCCGGCCGUCAUGGGCCGGCACCGCAGGCUUCUGCGGGG